GAGCAUCCUCUGAUAGACCUGGGACAAUCGACCGUUGUUGUUCUGGUUUGCACUAGGAUGCGAAAGAAUAAAAAGUCCCUGCGCUUUCUGUCUGUCUUUGUGGCGGGUCCAGAUUGAAUGAGGGAUUACAUAG
ensembl:snoRNA